CGAAGAAAUCAUUGCCUCCUGGGGUGCAGUGUGUCACUGGCCGGACGGAGCCACUCCUGGCAGAGCUUGUCUGCCUCUCCCUCUGAGCACGUCAGGGUCCCAUUGCGCACAGCUGAUGGUGUGAAUGUAAUGAUUUUAGGGUCAAUUUUAACUGCAAUGCCAGGCAUCAGCAACCUAAAUAUUAGCACAGUUUCAGAAUGUGAUGUUAUGUUAGUAUAUCUUUUUUUUAUUCUUGGUUUAUGCAGUACCACUGUACAAACAGCGGAAGAAGCCAUUUUCGCUUAUUUGAUUUCCUUUCCUGUGAUGGACUGGAUACGUGGACACGCGGUCAACUUGAAUUCCUGGAGUCAGCUUCUCCUCAAGCUCAUCUAAUUCUUGAAGUAACUGAAGAGGAAGCUCUACAUCAGUGUCCUCCCCCUCAGGUUGGCCUGGCUGUGGAGCCUGAAGCCCGCCUGUCUCGAGGUGGACGUGGCGUCUGUUAACACAGGUAAUAAUGUGCGAAUCAGUCUUGCCAUAACAAGUCUAGCAAUUAAACAAAGCAGUUAAAUCCCUCACACAUAACCCUUUUUAAUUUUGUUACGUAAGAAUAACUGUGUGUCCCCUUGUCUUAGGAUUGUUUCAGGCCUGUCGAGCAAAAAUUAUAUGUAACUGAAUCUUCCCAUAACAAGGCACAUUGACUGCUCAAAACUGACUUUCAACUACAUAAAGAUAAUAAACUUUUGUUAGCCUGCAGAAUUGAUAUGUCAUUCAGUACUGCUAUAACAAGUUUCUAUCAUUGAUAUAAUGGAC